rnacentral:misc_RNA from 1 species
UUUCCGUAGGUGAACCUGCGGAAGGAUCAUUAUUGUAUAACCGAGGUGCGAGGGCUGUCGCUGACCCGAAAGGUCGUGCACGCCCGAGUGCCCUCACACACAUCCAUCUCACCCCUAUGUGCACCACCGCGUGGGUCCCCCUUUGGCUUGUUCGGAGGGGGGCUUACGUUUUCACACAAACUUUGUAUGCAGUGUAGAAUGUAUUUUUUGUUUUUGCGAUCACGCAAUCAAUACAACUUUCAACAACGGAUCUCUUGGCUCUCGCAUCGUGAAACGCAGC